GUGCUCACUUCAGCACAUAUACUGAAAUUGGAACAGUACAGAGAUCAGCAUGGCCCUUGCUCAAGGAUGACACACGAAUUUGUGAAACAUUCCAUUAAAAA
ensembl:snRNA U6 U6 spliceosomal RNA